GCGGAUGUAGCUCAGUUGGUAGAGCACAACCUUGCCAAGGUUGGGGUCGCGAGUUCGAGUCUCGUCAUCCGCU
rnacentral:tRNA from 2 species